UGGACGCUAGCAACAGGCUUAACACAUGCAAGUCGAGGGGAAACGGCAUUUAGUGCUUGCACUGAAUGGACGUCGACCGGCGCACGGGUGAGCAACGCGUAUCCAACCUACCCAUUACUGUGGGAUAACCUGCCGAAAGGCAGACUAAUACCGCAUAGUCUUCGAUGACGGCAUCAGAUUUGAAGUAAAGAUUUAUCGGUAAUGGAUGGGGAUGCGUCUGAUUAGCUUGUUGGCGGGGUAACGGCCCACCAAGGCAACGAUCAGUAGGGGUUCUGAGAGGAAGGUCCCCCACAUUGGAACUGAGACACGGUCCAAACUCCUACGGGAGGCAGCAGUGAGGAAUAUUGGUCAAUGGGCGGGAGCCUGAACCAGCCAAGUAGCGUGCAGGAUGACGGCCCUAUGGGUUGUAAACUGCUUUUGUAUGGGGAUAAAGUCAAUCACGUGCGAUUGUUUGCAGGUACCAUACGAAUAAGGACCGGCUAAUUCCGUGC
rnacentral:rRNA from 1 species